rnacentral:rRNA from 1 species
GGSGAGUGAAGCGGCAACAGCUCAAAUUUGAAAGCUGGCCUUSGGGUCCGYGUUGUAAUUUGUAGAGGAUGYUUUUGGUUAGGUGCCUUACGAGUUCCCUGGAACGGGACGCCUUAGAGGGUGAGAGCCCCGUACGUUUGGUUACCGAGCCUCUGUAAAGCUCCUUCGACGAGUCGAGUAGUUUGGGAAUGCUGCUCUAAAUGGGAGGUAAAUUUCUUCUAAAGCUAAAUACCGGCCAGAGACCGAUAGCGCACAAGUAGAGUGAUCGAAAGAUGAAAAGCACUUUGAAAAGAGGGUUAAAUAGCACGUGAAAUUGUUGAAAGGGAAGCGUUUAUGACCAGACUUUUUCCUAGCGGAUCAUCCGGCGUUCUCGCCGGUGCACUUCGCUAGGUUUAGGCCAGCAUCGGUUUUCGCAGGGGGAUAAAAGCAGUGGUAAUGUGGCUCCCUCCGGGGAGUGUUAUAGACCGCUGUAUAAUACCCUUGCGGGGACCGA